rnacentral:lncRNA from 1 species
UGCAAUGGUGCAAUAACGGCUCACUGUAACCUCCGCCUCCCAGAAUGAUUGUCACAUAAUGUGUAGAGAAAAUGGAAGAAUCAAAGGCAAGGGAAACCUGUACAGUGGAGACACAAAGGGUCACUGGCAGAUUUCAAAUGAUCCAAGACAUCCUCAAGGAAGAUUUACCACAAGUUACUUUAUCAUAGCUUUGAGUGGCAUUUUAAUAUCAUAUUUUAAAAGAAAGAAAACAAUAGAAAUGUAUUAAAAUAUCUUCUCAAGAAUCCUUCCAAACCACAAGGAAAAUCACCAGGCCAAAAGUGAGGUUUGAAGUCUGGACAUGUACUGGUUUUCUCUAGCAAUCGACUCUCAAUUUUUGGACAUUGAGAUCUGCUGGUUGGAGAUCUUAGUGCCCAAGGAAGAAUGCUUGCAAAAGGAGAUGGAACAGUGUUUCUGUUGCAUUGGCCACUGAGAAUAUCUGGUUAUUUUGAAUUUGUCACAGUCUGCAGCUAAAAGGCGAACAGGAAAAGAAGAGAGAGCGGUAAUUUGAAUGAUAGCAGAUUUCACAUCAGGAACCAAUGAAGCUAGAUAAGAAUGCAACAUCUUUGAUGUCUAAAAGAAACAAAAAGCCAACCUUGAAUUCUUUAUUUAGUGAAGUUACCCUUCAGAAAUGACGGCAAAAUAAAGAUGUUUUCCAAUAAAAGACAACUAUGAGAAUUCUUCACCAGCAGUCCUAUUGUAUCAGAACAGCCAAAAGAAGUUUGUCAGCCUACAGGGAAUUAUAUCAAAGGGAAGACUUGACCUUGAAAAUGAAUGAGGAAUAUAAGAAAUUGAUAUUAUCUGGGAAGCGGCACAUGAGACUAGCAGGAGUAAAUGUUAUAUACACUGGGCCUCGCAAAAAUUCUGCAAUCACUGGGAAUCAGUAACCUGGUAGAAUGAGAAAACAACGUAAUACUGAAAAAUCAAAACACCAUCCUACAGAACUUUGAUGCAUUCAGAACAAAGAUCACGAAUCAAGCUGAAAAAGUAAAGCAUUCUGUGAGUUGUGGAAUGGAAAUUGCCUCAACCAUCUCACCACUUGAUGACACUUGUAAUUUCAGUGACCCAAUUCAAGCAAUCAAACAUCAAGUAAUACUCUCAAUAAAGAUGUGUAAUUAAAACAGAAGAGGAAACAGACUAACAGAAGUGAUGAAGAAUGGCAGUUCUAAGGAUGGCAGGAAUUCACUGAAUGUCUAUCUAUCAUGUAUGCUGUUGGAGGCACCUGUCUUUCAGUUCAGAGGUUAUGGAUGUAUCUAUCAUCAGUAUUUCGGGAAGUCAGGGACCCGGAACAGAGGGACUUAAUGAAGCUGUGGCAGAAGAAAAAAUUAUGAAGAUUUCAUGGACAUUUAUUAGUUCCCCAAAUUAAUACUUUUAUAAUUUCUUACA